UUUCAAGUAAUCGGGAGAGAAUAUAGUCAGUCGAAUAAUAUAAUUUAAUUAAAUUCAAUCUAUUAAUAUUAAAAUACUAAUAAAAUGACAUUAAAAUUUAAAUUAUAAAUAAUAAAUUACGAACUAUAUACCCGCCCGUGCUUCGCACGGGUUAAAGGCUAGUAAAAUUAAAAGCUAUGCUAAUAGAUAAAUACCAAUCUUUUUGGUCAUUAUUUUGUUUGAUACAUAAUUAAAAGGAUCAAAGAUUGAUUUAACAAUGUGACUACUAUAAAAACAAAUAUUAAAUUGCACUUACAAAUGACACCACAAACAAAUUUCAUAUUUAACAAAAUAUGUUAUUCACAGUAGGCCAUUAAAGUAUUCAACUUUUAGUUGGCAACACAUAUAAACACCAAAUGAUGCAUCCGAUUAAUUAAAAGACCAUAGGUUAUAAGCAUAAAAAUCCCAGCCGCCUAGAAACAAAUUUAAUGACCCGGUAUGUAAUCAACAACACUCAACAUAUGGAUCACUUAAUAGAUAUAGUGCGUGGAUUAAUCUCAUCAAGCAUCAAAAGGCUCCCAGUUGUGCGCAGAAGUUACACAAUGUUCCAGCCUCUCCAUAUUCUUGUACCUGUGGAGAACAAAUAUUAAAGGGAGUAGGAUUUAAUCAUUUCUAGCUAUAACAAGUAUAAUGAAUUGACCAAUGAUUUCUAGGUCACGUGAUAUCCCCGCGUUCUAUUUAUAUGAGUGUGCUUAAUUAUAUAAAAAUUAGGUACAGUGAAACCGAUGACAAACACCUGGAGAGCUCUUCUUAAUUUGUGGUAAUAGUUCCCUGAAGUUCUUUGACUAAUUGGGAAAGGUAAUGAUAUGUCACUACAGCUUUCCACCAAUCAAUUCCUACCCCUUCUCUCAUUAAGUGGUAGUUUUGGGAGUUGUAUGUUUGUUUUGUUUACUUAUCCUAUUAUUUUAUUUUGAGGGUAACAAGUUAGAAAAUCAUAAGAAUUAAGAGAAUGCUUCAAGGAGUCUUGGUAUGUCACUGACAAGUAUAUGAGUGAAAUUAGGGAUAGUGUGUAAUAUUAAAUGAUAAUAAAAUAUAUAUAUGCAGGCCAACAUCGGUUGUGAUUAAAAUAAAAAAACAUAAUAAAAAUGUGCAUGCUUCAUAAAUCUAAGUCAAAUGAAACCCAUAACUAAGCUUCAAGAGGGUUUUGUUAUGCAAUAUAGUUCAAUUUUCCAUAUUCAUUAAUAGUGUAGUACUUAGAUGCUGUUUGGUUGGAGAAAGGUAUGGGGUUGGAAUUAGAAAUAGGGUAAAAGUGGUAUGGGGUUGAGUUAUAAUUUAUGAUAUCAUGUAUUUUGUUGGUGGUGGGAUAAAUAUGGUUGAAUUAAUUAUUUACCAAUUCAAACAGAAACAUAAAAGACAAAUCGCAAGCCAUAAAUAAACAAAGAAAACUAAGCUAGUACAUGAAAGGUAGCGAUGAGUCUUGUGCUUCAUAUACAUUACUCAAUUUUACAAAUAGAACUAGAAAUCUAGUGUAUGGAAUAAUUACACACUUGAUUGCUGACCAUUCUUUAAUACAUUUAAACUAAGAGCACAGUAUCACACAUCAAAAGAUUAUCAAAAUCUAUGGUGUUGAACCUCAAAAGGAAAGAAUUCAUAAAAUAACAAUCAAGACCAAGAGGCAGGGUGAGCUUGUUGUCAUUUCAUUAUACAUCAAUGAUCAAACCAUAAUAAUUCUUCAAUAACUCAUACUUUUAGGAUACUGAUCUAAUGCUAUUACCGAGUCCAUUCAAAAGUGCCCUAUCAAAAUCUAGUGCCAUAUAUUUUAAUCACCUUUGAUAUUGAUAUAUAAAAAAUUGAAAAUCAUUACCUCCCCAGUAGCUUGCUAUGGUUUGAGACAAGCGUGCAUCCUAUAUGAAUCCCAAAGGAAGCUUGAUUGUACGAUCUGCCAAAUGAAGUGAAAUUCUUGUCUUUUUGAGCUCUCCAAGACCAAGGGAUAAAUAUCAAGGUGGUCUUCUGGUGGAAGGGAGGAGGGGUUUGGAAAACGAGGAAAUAAGUUAUGAACCCAUGCAAAUAAUGAAGAAAAUGUUGCAUGAGAACUAUGUCCAUGACACAUCUUUGAAGGUAAUGUUAUUUUUCUUUCACGCAGAUAGACUAUGUAUUUCUAAUGGAUUGUUUAAUUCAUGUGAUUGGCACUAUUAUUGUUAUAUACAAUUAUAGCACCAAUAUUGAGACUUGUCACCUCGUUGUUGAAAUCCACCUCGUCCUCGGUCUCUGAAAUUUUGACCACGACCAGAUGGCUGAUAGCCUUAAGAAUUCUGGCCUCUAUUGAAGGACUGCCUUUCUCGUCCUCGUCCACCACGGUAGCCACCUCUAAAGCCACCUAUGCCAUGUGCAGAACUGCUACCGCCAAAACUGUCACCAAUGGACACCUUACUUUACAACGCCUUUUCCAAAUGAACGCCCUUUGGUCUUUUUUGUUGGAAUCUUUUAACGCCAUUUUCUCCGCAUCAGAAAGAACGGCUACAUCGUCGGGCUUUUCAUACCCACUUUCGACAAUAUCCCAAUUAUCGUAUGAACCGAGUAACACCUUCAUUUGGAUACUCCAGUUCCCGUAAUUUGUUGCCGUCAACUUUGGGAUUUGUGGUUGCGCCAUCAUAUUUGACAUUUUUUCUUCUUCGAAAUAACCUAGCUCUGAUACCACUUGUUGGAAACGUGUAUGGGCCUCGCACCGAAAAUUUCGAUAAUAUUAAGAUGCAAACACACAAUUUGUAUAUUAAUGUAACAUGCAGCUACAAUACUUAUAAUUUUAUUACACACUCUAGGCUUCAGCCUUUCUUGUUACACACAGAGCUUCUGCUCUUGUUUUCUUCUCUAUACAAGUUUCACUUCACUUGCUUGAAAGCCCACCUUAUUUCCAACAGAGCUUAUCACCUAUUCAAAUACUUAGCUCCAUGCAUGCAUAUAAAUAUUACUUCACACGUUUGUACCCACCAUAAUUUCAGCUACACUUAUUUCUACAAACCGUGUGCAUUAUUCAACUUAGCUAUCUUUGACCUAGCUAGCUGCAUACUUGUAGAACGGGUUUGAAUUCUAACAUCUUUCAUCUAACAUUUAGGAUCUUCAGUUCUGCAUCAGUGGCAAUGAUGCCAUCCGUAGAGGAGAUCUGGCUCUUGCUUUCUUAUAUAAUCAUGUAUUUACUACUUACUCAAUUUGCAUGUGUAUGGCUGUCGCAAGACCUUAGACGAACUAACUUAUAUUUGCGGUCUGCCAGUCUCUCUGUCUUUUUUCUUUUCCUUGUAUGUUAUUAUCGUUUAUAAUUUUUUUUUUGUAACUUAUUAUAUUAUGUAGGGUGUAGUGAAUGUGGUUAUGGGAAUUGCACCUGAAAUUGGGAUGCUUUACUUGCAAGCACUUAGGUAACUUUACUUGUGAUUGGCACUAUUAUUGUUAUAUACAAUUAUAGCACCGAUAUUGAGACUUGUCACCUCGUUGUUGAAAUCCACCUCGUCCUCGGUCUCUGAAAUUUUGACCACGACCAGAUGGCUGAUAGCCUUAAGAAUUCUAGCCUCUAUUGAAGGACUGCCUUCCUCGUCCUCGUCCACCACGGUAGCCACCUCUAAAGCCACCUAUGCCACAUGCAGAACUGCUACCGCCAAAACUGUCACCAAUGGACACCUUACUUUGCAACGCCUUUUCCAAAUGGCUUGCAUCAUCAUAGUGGUUCAUUCGCUGCUCGUGGGCUUGAAGAGAACCUACGAGCUCAUCAAUUGAUAUUGUGGACAGGUCUUUUGACUCCUCGAUAGAAGUAACAACAUAAUCAAAUUUUCUUGUCAAUGAACGGAGCAACUUUUCCGUGACUCGAACAUCAUCGAGACUUUCACCAUUUCUUUUCAUCACAUUUGUCACCGUUUUCAAACGCGUAAAAAAUUCACCAAUAUUUUCGGAACUCUUCAUUUUCAAAUUUUCGAACUCACCAUGUAGAACCUGGAGCCGAACCUUUUUGACUUUCUCGACAUCCAGGAAUGAUUUCUGCAGAAUCUCACACGCGUCUUUCGCCAUUUUUGCAUUUGAAAUUUUUUUCAAAGGUUGAUUCAUCAACUCCUUGAAUAAUUGUAUAUAACGCGCUCUGGUCUUUUUUCUAGGAAUCUUUUAACGCCAUUUUCUCCGCAUCAGAAAGAACGACUUCAUCGUCGGGCUUCUCAUACCCAUUUUCGACAAUAUCCCAAUUAUCGUAUGAACCGAGUAACACCUUCAUUUCGAUACUCCAGUUCCCGUAAUUUGUUGCCGUCAACUUUGGGAUUUGUGGUUGCGCCAUCAUAUUUGACAUUUUUUGUUCUUCGAAAUAACUUAGCUCUGAUACCACUUGUUGGAAACGUGUAUGGGCCUCGCACAAAAAAUUUCGAUAAUAUUAAGAUGCAAACACACAAUUUGUAUAUUAAUGUAACAUGCAGCUACAAUACUUAUAAUUUUGUUACACACACUAGGCUUCAGCCUUUCUUGUUACACACAGAGCUUCAGCUCUUGUUUUUUUCUCUCUACAAGUUUCACUUCACUUGCUUGAAAGCCCACCUUAUUUCCAACAGAGCUUAUCACCUAUUCAAAUACUUAGCUCCAUGCAUGCAUAUAAAUAUUACUUCACACGUUUGUACCCACCAUAAUUUCGGCUACCCUUAUUUCUAAAAACCGUGUGCUUUAUUCAACUUAGCUGUCUUUGACAUAGCUAGCUGCAUACUUGUAGAACGGGUUUGAAUUCUAACAUCUUUCAUCUAACAUUUAGGAUCUUCAGUUCUGCAUCAGUGGAAAUGAUGCCAUCUGCAGAGGAGAUCUGGAUCUUGCUUUCUUAUAUAAUCAUGUAUUUACUACUUACUCAAUUUUUAUGUGUAUGGUUGUCGCAAGACCCUAGACGAACUAACUUAUAUUUGCGGUCUGCCAGUCUCUCUGUCUUUUUUCUUUUCCUUGUAUGUUAUUAUCGUUUACAAUUUUUUUUUGUAACUUAUUAUAUUAUGUAGGGUGUAGUGAAUGUGGUUAUGGGAAUUGCACCUGAAAUUGGGAUGCUUUACUUGCAAGCACUUAGGUAACUUUACUUGCGAUUGGCACUAUUAUUGUUAUAUACAAUUAUAGCACCGAUAUUGAGACUUGUCACCUCGUUGUUGAAAUCCACCUCGUCCUCGGUCUCUGAAAUUUUGACCACGACCAGAUGGCUGAUAGCCUUAAAAAUUCUGGCCUCUAUUGAAGGACUGCCUUCCUCGUCAUCGUCCACCACGGUAUCCACCUCUAAGGCCACUUAUGCCACGUGCAGAACUGCUACCGCCAAAACUGUCACCAAUGGACACCUUACUUUGCAACGCCUUUUCCAAAUGGCUUGCAUCAUCAUACUGGUUCAUUCGCUGCUCGUGGGCUUGAAGAGAACCUACGAGCUCAUCAAUUGAUAUUGUGGACAGGUCUUUUGACUCCUCGAUAGAAGUAACAACAUAAUCAAAUUUUCUUAUCAAUGAACGGAGCAACUUUUCCGUGACUCGAACAUCAACGAGACUUUCACCAUUUCUUUUCAUCUCAUUUGUCACCGUUUUCAAACACGUAAAAACUUCAUCAAUAUUUUCGGAACUCUUCAUUUUCAAAUUUUCGAACUCGCCACGUAGAAACUGGAGCCGAACCUUUUUGACUUUCUCGACAUCCUGGAAUGAUUUCUGCAGAAUCCCACACGCGUCUUUCGCCGUUUUUGCAUUUGAAAUUUUUUUCAAAGGUUGAUUCAUCAACUCCUUGAAUAAUUGUAUAUAACGCCCUUUGGUCUUUUUUGUUGGAAUCACUACGCCAUAGAUGGGCAAAUAAGACACUUUUCUAAUGUAAUGCCAAUUUUGUGUUACAGUUGCCAUACUUUUUGGACCUACCGUAAUAUUAAUCAAUUCAAUGUUACCUUACAUCACUACCAAUUGUUACUUUAGAGCGUUUGUGUUACAGCGGUAUGCUGGUGUUACGUUAUAUCAUUCAUGUUGUAACAUAUCCCGUUACUCUUAUGCUUAUAUUUUAAUUCAUAAUUAUUUUCAGUGGUCCCCACAACUGUACACGUCAGCUCAUGUGGGACCCACAGCUGUACACAUCAGCAUAUGGGCUCCACUAUUGCUGACGUGGCAGUGGUAGUCCCACACAUGGGUCCCACCACCGCUGACGUGGAGGUGGUGGGCCCCACCACCGCUGACGUGGAGGUGGUGGGUCCCACAACCGCUGAUGUGGCAGUGGUGGGUCCCACAUCCUCCGACGUGGCAGCGGUGGGUCCCACUACUGUUGAAGUGGCGGUGGUGGGUCCCGCAACCGCUGAUGUGGCAGUGGUGGGUCCCCCAUCCUCCGACGUGGCAGUGGUGGGUCCCCCAUCCGCUGACGUGGCAGUGGUGGGUCCCACCACUGCUGACGUGGUGGUUGUGGGUCCCACCACUGCUGACGUGGCAGUUGUGGGACCCACGGCUGCUGACGUGGCAGUGUUGGGUCCCAUGGCUGCUGACGUGGCCGUGGUGGGCCCCACAGGCUGGGUCCCAUCUUUGAUUAAAAAGUUAUCAACAAAUUUUUGAAGGCCAAGGGAAUCGAACCCUUGACCUCACACUUAACAAAACUCGUUGCAAACCACUAUAGCAACAUUUCAUUUGUUUAAAAUUUUGCAUAACUAGUUUAUAUCGGGUUCCUUUCUUUGCUGGGCUCUCCACUUAUCUUGCCCAUUUCAUCCAUCACCGUGUUUCAUCAAUCUGGCCCAUUUCUUUGCUUUUUGGUUUAAAAAAAUCUUUGAUUUGUUUAAAAAAAUUAUUUGCUUUGUUUAAAAUAACCAGAUUAAUUUUUCAAAGU